rnacentral:rRNA from 1 species
ACGGAAGGCAGCAGUGGGGAAUAUUGCACAAUGGGGGAGACCCUGAUGCAGCGACGCCGCGUGAAGGAAGAAGUAUCUCGGUAUGUAAACUUCUAUCAGCAGGGAAGAAAAUGACGGUACCUGACUAAGAAGCCCCGGCUAACUACGUGCCAGCAGCCGCGGUAAUACGUAGGGGGCAAGCGUUAUCCGGAUUUACUGGGUGUAAAGGGAGCGUAGACGGAAUUGCAAGUCUGAUGUGAAAGGCAUGGGCUCAACCUGUGGACUGCAUUGGAAACUGUGAUUCUUGAGUGCCGGAGGGGUAAGCGGAAUUCCUGGUGUAGCGGUGAAAUGCGUAGAUAUCAGGAGGAACACCGGUGGCGAAGGCGGCUUACUGGACGGCAACUGACGUUGAGGCUCGAAGGCGUGGGGAGCAAACAGGAUUAGAUACCCUGGUA